ACAAGUCUAUCAUUACCACAAGUCUUGGUUCUCACAAAAUCUUCUCACUUCAAAACUGACACGCAACACAAGCAGCCAGUCUGGCAGGCAGGUGUGAAUAAGAACAGUGCUCACAAUGCUACAUCUGAGCACUUUUCAUAGCACAUUCAUGGUUUAAAAAGACACGUGAAAGUCUUUUGUACUUUUUAAGAUCAAACUCUUGAUACAUUUUAUCUGUGGAAAGUGGCUUUAACAGUCUUACAUUGCCUUCAGACUUGAAGGCCUAGUUUGUUUUUCCUGAUGUAGAAAUUCUGGUUAUAAAACUGCUGCAUCAAUGUACAGUAUCCUCUACAUUUAUGUCUGAGAAUAUACCGAAAAUGUGUAGAAUCUGGAUGACACAACAAAAACGAACUGUAUGAGCAGUUUAAAAAAUAUGAAUGUACAGAAUAUUGUUCAAAAUAUAUGUAUAAAAAACAGUUCCUGGAUCUCAAUUAAGAAACGUACAGUCAGUUAGCUAGUAUUGCUCUAUUAUUUAGCUUUAUUGACCAGCUGAAUUAUUGACCAGCUGUAUUAGUUCACUUAAUACAUGGCUACUUAUCAAAUAAAUGGAUGUAAAAUAUUGAUUUAACUAAUUCAUUAGUUUUAACUAGAUUUAGCUAAUUGAUUUAACUAGUUCACAAAGUGAUACAAAUAGUUUUUGGACACUUUGCAUAUCCGUGUCCAAUCUAGUGAGAGAUGUAUUGAUUUGUUAUUAUGCCCUCCACUUUGAUGUAUCACAGAAGCCUGUGAAUGCAUAUUCUAAAAAGAUUACAGUGACUACUGUGAAUCUUGCAUUCAUGUGAAAAUUAUUCAUUACACGCUCGGCGGCUGAAAACUUUAUGCGAGGAGACUCCAUCCUCUCUCCACACCAUCUGGCUGAGGCUUGUGAGGAAUAACUGCUGCAGAACUUCAAACAUGUCUGCCUGUCAGUCAGCCUGAGGACAAGGACGUCCUUAUAUCUCCAAGCCCUAUCUGACUUUCUGCAGACUUGAAAUUAUCAGAGGCGUUUGUGCACACAAACAAUAUUUUCAAAGCACAACUGCUAGAGUCCUGCACUGGACUACAAACAGAGACUGCCUAUUAGACAGCUUAAUUCAACCUCUGGCUAUAAUUAGUCGUGUCUGCUAAGCAUUGUGUACUAUUACUAUUUUCUUUUUUUUAGGGUUAGGAAUUUAAACAGACACCUAUCCUUGAGUAUUAUAAAACUUGUUU
rnacentral:lncRNA from 1 species